UGGGGUAUAUUGCACAAUGGGCGCAAGCCUGAUGCAGCAACGCUGCGUGAACGAUGAAGGUCUUCGGAUCGUAAAGUUCCGUUGCAGGGGAAGAUAAUGACGGUACCCUGUGAGGAAGCCCCGGCUAACUACGUGCCAGCAGCCGCGGUAAUACGUAGGGGGCUAGCGUUAUCCGGAUUUACUGGGCGUAAAGAGUGCGUAGGUGGUCUUUCAAGUCGGUGGUUAAAGGCUACGGCUCAACCGUAGUUAGCCUCCGAAACUGGAAGACUUGAGUGCAGGAGAGGAAAGUGGAAUGCCCAGUGUAGCGGUGAAAGGCGUAGGUAUUGGGAGGAAAACCAGUAGCGAAGGAGGCUAUCAGGACUGCAACUGACACUGAGGCACGAAAGAGUGGGUAGCAAACAGG
rnacentral:rRNA from 1 species